rnacentral:rRNA from 1 species
UACGUAGGGUGCGAGCGUUAAUCGGAAUUACUGGGCGUAAAGCGUGCGUAGGCGGUUCGUUAUGUCUGCUGUGAAAGCCCCGGCUUAACCUGGGAAUGGCAGUGGAAACUGGCGGGCUUGAGUGUGGCAGAGGGGGGUGGGAAUUCCGCGUGUAGCAGUGAAAUGCGUAGAGAUGCGGAGGAACACCGAUGGCGAAGGCAGCCCCCCUGGGCUGACACUGACGCUGAGGCACGAAAGCGUGGGGAGCAAACAGG